AGUGCCCGGAAGUUCGGGUUGUUUCCGGUUCCCGGGUGUCAGUAUCUGUAUGAAAAACUUCAAGGGUCGCACGUCGGUGACAUUUCGGCUUUAACUGUGAAGCUGUCAAUAUCUUUUUCCGAUGAUCGGCAAGACUGUCAGCAUGACGUCAAAAUGGUCCCCCAUUGUCUUCUAUGACUCUUCUUGAUGUCAUCGUAACUCUGGUUUGACUCAUCAUACUCCACACUCAAGUGAGGAGUUCUGUUUCUGUUGUUUUGCAGUUUACACAACACGUCUUUUAUCAUUCUGUAUGGUGCAUUACCUUGUAAGCUCCACUUCACUCAAACGCAAAGAGUGAGACUAUAGCUAAACAGUAGACAUAUAAGCUAUCAAUCACUAGUACUGGGUGCAAAAGAUGCAAUCAAUGAAAGUAGAAGGUACAAAAAAUCUGAAAAUUGAAUUAAAAACAGCAAAUUUUAACUUCUGAAACUGACUUACUGAAUAAAGAACAGAUCACCAAACUAACUUGUCAGAAAGAGCACUGAAAUUUUUGAAGCAAAAUCCAAGUUUUGCGAUUGACAAAGCAUUCCAUUACUUUAUAUUACAAAAAAAUAAAUCAUUUAU